GGCAACAUCUCAAACUGCGAUGACGGAUAGGAAAAAGUGAGAGCGCUCAGAUCGACGUACCGGAAUAACCAGAAUAAUUGGCAGCCGGUACACGAACAGCCACCAACGCGACUCCACGCUUCGCAAUGCGCUCGCUUCAAGGUCGAAUCCAUCUUGCCAACCCUAUACGUCUAUUAUUCAAUUUACGUCGGCCCUUUCGACGUUCUCAAUUGAUAAUGAAAAGAUGAAUUGAUUUAACACAAUAUACGUGAUAGAAAUCAGGCAGCCUUAACGAAUGAUGUCGCGUUAGAAUUUUUUAAAUAUUCAGAUAAGGAUAAUGAUAAAGGCGAAAUGAAACAAAUGGAAAGAAAUAAUACUACAGUAAAGAAUCUUUUAAUUAAUAAUGGAAAUAGUGGUUAAGGUGCAAAUACUUGACGCAUAAGAACGUACGGCCGACCUAACCUCACUCUUGUACUGCUUAGGAGCAGUUUAGGUUAAUGACCUAGAAAUGAGAUUAAAUUGGAUAAAAACCAACUCCUUGGCCCCUUGCAGAUACAGAAACUCGGACAAUCUGUUUUCCAGAGGAAUCGGUCUCCGUUCUGGGACACAAAGGGCGGAAAAUAUUUAUUCGCAAAACGUCCCUCUCGUUUUCAUCGGCUAUCUUACCCGAUAAAAUUCUGGAAGUAUCUAGACACAAGACAAGGCGGGACACAUUAUCACGGGAAAGCAAUAUGUAAGUUCAAUGAAGCGCGCAGAAUGGAUACAGGUGUUCCCUGUUUGAGAAAGAUAAGUCACACGGGCACGUGAUCGAAUUAUUAUACACGAGCGUAUAAAUUAAGGAGAUACGUUGGAACUGGAAUUAAGAAGCUACGCUGAGAAACGCAACCCUGUUGCGUUAUUUCAGACACUGUCGAGCCAAUUGUAUUUUUCUAAGGUUAAAGAAUAUCUCGAGUCUGAUCGAUUCACGCGAUUUCUCAGCGUUUCGGUUUUACGUUAACUGUUUUCUUAGGACGUCACUUGACUCGAACUGUUGAAUUAAUCAAUUCCACAAAACCUUUUGUUGUCACAGCUACACAAGAUUUAAUAAAUUCCAUAAUUCAAUUAGAUGUCAUUUUUCUGCGAUAAUUAGAGAUGCGUUCAUAGAACAUAGCGAAUAUUUGAUCUUUAAAAAUUUGAAAUAGAUAUAUCAGACAAAGCUGAAGUAUUCUUUCGCUUUCUUUCCCUUUUUAAGAUGUAUACUUCCCCAUCACUUCUUUGUAACUCUAACAUUGACGAGUUAGCCCCGCGACGAUAUUCUACGGACUUAGGAUGCAGAAUAGUAAAAGAGUGAAGAGAAUGAAAAAAUUUGUCUUUUUAAAAUUGACAGAGCCGAAUCCUUAAAAGCUCGAUGAAGAUCAAGCGAACAUAUCCAACGUUCACGUUUCUACUUUCUACUAAGUUGAGUAAUUCAAUCGACCACGACUAUACUAGCUACUAUGCUGCGAGCUUACUUUGCGAUUACAGAGAAUAGCCCACCCUUCCUGGAAGCGGAAUUCUUUUUCCGCUUAUCAACGCGGUCGUGAUCCGAUAGAAAUCGAUGAGCGAUAAGAACUUCCGUUUUGGAGCGAAAUCGCCAGCAAAGUGGACUUUGAGCAGAUACUGAGAUUGUAAUUCGUCGUGGAAGCUCUUUUUUUUUUUAAACGAUUUCUUGUGCACACGCACCUGGAAAUACUUCAACGUUUACUACGAAGCGCGUUUACGUCUAUGUUGUAUGUAUUAUAUGUAUGAGACAUUUUAAAAUUUCUUUAAUACGUUAACGAGACACCACUGUCGCGAUUAUAUCGGUAAAAUUUCGUAGAAAUCUGAAAAUGUAUACAGAAAUUACAAGAUAUCUGUUGUAAACGUAUAUCCAGUGAAAACAUGGAAUAUCUAUUCGAAAUGUAUAUGUAACAAGUGUUGCCGAGAUGGAGUGUCAGAGACUCCGCAGGUGCAAGCUUCCUUACUCUCUUUCAUUUUGUUUACAAUUAAAUAGCUUUGUAUCUUUUUCUACCAUUCGACGUCAGAUACUACGAUGCACGCAUUCACGCAAAUACAGGAAAAUGUGUACUAAAAAUAAUCCUGUGUAUACUCGCUAUAAACCAAUAAAGCUGUUCCUCAAAAAGUUUCGUCAUUACCAAGUGAUAGCAAUUGUCCGUAAAAUAGGAACCGCAAGGCGAUCCGAAUUCCUAGAACAAUUAAUCACUCCGACCAAUUUGCUGUUUUGUCGUUGGUUGGCGUCUAAGUCUCGAACGCCAGCCAACAAAGUCCUACGGUAAAAGAGAACUUUCAUUUCGACGCGAACUCGAAUUUAUCCAGAGGCAUACAUCAUACGACACGCUCGGAACGUUCGUAUAUUUCAGCCACGGCUGGAACUCGUGCAAUUUUCCUACCAUAAAGUUGCACGCAUCUCUUUAUUGGUAAUUGAUAAGAAACGCGUUAAAGCAACGGUUACGUCAUGCAAGCAAAUGGAAACUAUUGGACAAGAAUAAAAUUGUUAUUGCAACUCGAUCUUAUCGCAUCAGGCAUCGGGGAAAGAGAACAUUUUCAUCAACAAGAUGAAUAUUUCGAAUUCGAUCCGUACACGCACGUUAUAUCGCCAUUUGCCACUUGGAAAAUUUAAACAUUUAUCUCGCAUCAAGAUUCUACCAGCAUCAA